rnacentral:tRNA from 1 species
GGUUGUGUAGUGUAGUGGUUAUCACUGUAGGUUUCCUCCAAAGCCUCUCCUUCGCAUCCAACGUCAUCACAUACUGACUCCCUUCGAGCCGGAUUUUGAUCACUGUCAAACGUCUUCCGGCAACCCCGGUUCGAGCCCGGGCACGACCU